AACUAUUUGGCUGAAGGGAAAGUUAAUGUUUUGAAAACAUUUUAUAGAAGUUCGAAUCCUCUAAUAGUUU
rnacentral:tRNA from 1 species